ACUCAGGCCUCAUGUUCUUCAUCUGGAAAAUGAGUUCAGUAUCUGUCCAUCAUACCUGACAGAGGAGCAAAUGAAAUAACAUCUAGAAUCUUCUUGCAUACAAAUAUAAAUGAAGAUGAAUAUAUUAGGACUCAGAGAUAUUGAGAUCUCAGGUCACUCUAUGAAAGACUCGUCUUCAAUUUGGGUCAUCUGAAUUUAUAGCCUGACCUCCUUUUAUUUAUACCACAAGCACCCAUUAUAAAAGCAGAAAAGGAAGAACUGGAGGUAAGGGAG
rnacentral:lncRNA from 10 species